ACGGGACGGGACGGGACGGGGUGUGUGCGCGGGAGCGCGGCGGCGCUCGGGAGCAGCCCCGGGCAGGCCCGCGCGCUGCCCGCAGCGGGGCGGCGCGCACCGGCACGUGCUGGGAGCCCGCCUUCCACCACGCGCGCCAGCACGGGCAGCGGCGCCGCGCGCCCGCCGGCGACACCCACCUGUCCCCGCACCCCGCGGUUUGUCCCCGCUGCUCCGGCUGCCCCCGGCCCCGGGCCGCACUCCCGGCCAGCAGGGGGAGCGCGCUGCGGGGCUGGGGUGCAGCGCGGGGGGCUUGUCCCCUUCCCCCCCCAGCGACUGUAAGGAUGCGCGAAAUGCCGGCCUGACAGACCGCGGGCGGAGACGAGAGGCGACUGUCCCUUUGGAUCAGCCUUCAGCUGCUGUGCAGGUGCCAGCUGAUGGAAGAAAAUGUUGUUGGGCUGAAGUCCUACCAUGCUCCUCUGAUAAUGUUACGGAGGUGGUCCUGAAGCACUGGGAGAUGAUGCAUUUUACCCAGUUGUCUUUCUCUACUGCCUUUUCCAGCCCUGGCUCUGCAAUAGUUCCAUCCAAAGCUCACCAGUGCAUUUCAAUCACGGUGCUGAAGAAAUCAGAGUGAUGCCUUCAAAGCUGUUAUUUUUAUAGUCAAAUGUUAUCUUCAUGUUAUACUUUAAGUGAUUAAAGUGUUUUAAAAGGCAACUAAACGAACAUGGAAAAAUGAUUUAAAAAAAUAAAAGUUCUGAUAAUUAUUUCAUAAGAA